CCUAUGGGGUGCANCAGGCGAGAAAACUUUGCAAUGUGCGAAAGCACGACAAGGUUAAUCCGAGUGGUUUCUGCUAAAGGAACCUUUUGUUAGUGCUUAGAACCACNAGACGAAGAAGGGNGGGCAAUAAGUGG
rnacentral:rRNA from 1 species